rnacentral:misc_RNA from 1 species
UUCAGGGGGAAUCCCAGAUUCUUUAACUCAGCUUGACGGGCUGAAGCAUUUGAAUCUGUCUUUUAAUCAACUUCAUGGGAUGGUUCCAAAACGUGGAAUCUUUCUAAAUGCAAGUGCCGUUUCAUUGAUGGGAAACAAUGAUCUCUGUGGAGGUAUCACUGAGAUGAAGCUUCCUUCUUGCCCCAUCGCAAACUCCAAGAAGAACAACCUCUCCCUUGCACUGAAAGUGACAAUCCCAGUGGCUGCGACAGCCAUAUUUUCGGCUCUGUUGGUGUGUUCCUUAAUUUUCUGGCAUCGGAAAAGUAUUUUUAGAAAGAAGAAGAUUUCCAUGCCACCAUUUGAACACCAGUUUCUGAGAAUAUCCUAUGCAGAACUCUUCAAAGCCACUGAUGGAUUCUCUAUGUCCAAUAUAAUUGGUGUCGGAAGUUAUGGAUCUGUUUAUAAAGGAAUUCUUGAGCAAGUAGGUAUAGAAGUGGC